rnacentral:rRNA from 1 species
UACGUAGGGUGCAAGCGUUGUCCGGAAUUAUUGGGCGUAAAGAGCUCGUAGGCGGUCAGUCGCGUCUGCUGUGAAAACUCGCAGCUCAACUGCGAGCCUGCGAGCGAUACGGGCAGGCUAGAGUUCGGUAGGGGAGACUGGAAUUCCUGGUGUAGCGGUGAAAUGCGCAGAUAUCAGGAGGAACACCGAUGGCGAAGGCAGGUCUCUGGGCCGAUACUGACGCUGAGGAGCGAAAGCGUGGGGAGCGAACAGG